rnacentral:rRNA from 1 species
UACGUAGGGGGCUAGCGUUGUCCGGAAUCAUUGGGCGUAAAGCGCGUGUAGGCGGUCCGGUAAGUCCGCUGUGAAAGUCGGGGGCUCAACCCUCGGAUGCCGGUGGAUACUGUCGGGCUUGAGUACGGAAGAGGCGAGUGGAAUUCCUGGUGUAGCGGUGAAAUGCGCAGAUAUCAGGAGGAACACCAAUUGCGAAGGCGCUC